rnacentral:lncRNA from 1 species
UCUUCGAAAAACCUAUAAGGGAAGUCAUUUUCUUUCUUAGUAGGAUACGUUAAGCUGUCUGUAGCUUAUUUACUAUCUUAUUUAGCUGCGUUGUAUUAAUAGUAGGAAAAAAUUAUAAAAGCGAUAACUUCCGUUUCGGAUGGUGUUAAGUGCAUCGCUUUUUUCCGCUUUAGGUUGCUCAAAAAUGAAACUAUUUUUUAUCCAUUUUGUCUACUUAAAUUUUUAUUUUGAAUUAUGCACUAUUAUUAUUAUAAUUAUUAUUGUUAUUUAUGGAUGAUAAAUUCUUCUUGGCCAAAAAUUAUGAUAGAAGAGAUCAUAAAACGAAUAAAACUUGUAUUGCCAUGACGUUAUCCAGCACAAAGCUCCAGUGAAGUUUAGUGCUCUCAAUCCAGUUGAAAAUAAAUAAAUUCUCUUUUGCAAUAGAUUCUGCUUGCAGCUGUGAGAAGCGUUUUAAUCUUGUAUUGUGGACACACAUCAAAUCAAUUCCAUCUGAAUUGUGAGUAUUCAAGCCAGUUGGACAAUUUUACUGCAAUCGAACUCAAAACAGAUAGUAAAAAGGGAAUAAAUAAUAACACGCUGUGAUUUGUAACAAACCAUCUGUUACAAAUCUUAAUUUAUUUUUUUAUUUAAACUGCUAAUUGUAAGUUGUGACAUCUUUAAGGAAAAUACCCCCAUUUAACGGAUGUGUCAUCUCUGUCGCACAAAAUAUAAGCCAUUCAGUUGUUUAUUUAGAUGAGUUAAGCCUAAAACAUGCACAAACACGAGUAAUACCGGGGAAAAAAAUACCUCUACCAAGGAACUCUAUCUUAGUUCUGGAAAUCAGUUUUUAACCACAAUUCUAGCCGUUUUGAAACCUGCAUGGAUUUUUUAGAUAUGAAAACAAAGUCCAGAUGAGUGUAAGGUAUGCUGUAUCUCAGGUAACCUUAUCUUUAUACGAGUUGAAAGAAGGUGAGCGAUACAGAUAAGAAUAGCGGGGCAAGAGCCACUUAUGACAAAUUCUUCGUGAUAAGAAUUAUGUUGAGGCAAUCAAGUAACAAGAAAAAGAACCACGCCAUUUUUGAUAUUUAGUUUUCGCAUUUGGAUUAUUAACUCGAUUAUUUAUUAUUAAAGACCAUCAUCGUCAAGGAUGGCCGUUGAUCCAACGAACAGAUGGCGGAUGGGUAACGUAAGAACUGUUGGCUACUGCACAUUUUGCGUCAUCCUCCUAGGAUUCGCCAUGUUAUUGGGCGGAGCCAUCAUUUCUGGUAUCGCUUUUACGGAAGUCAGACCCAACGUUGCAGACGAGAAUUACGAGAGAUACAUCAGAUCAGAUUUGAAGAGGGUGAUUGGUCCAAUCAUGCUGGCCUUUGGCCUGCUCUGCAUAUUUGGUGGUUGCAUAUUUUUCGGUCUUACCCUCUGUUCAGCAACCAUGGAGAACAGGCGUCGUUUGAAGAAGACGAAUAAGUACAAUGUCCGCGCCAGCGAGGAACACUUACCCUCGACUCCUGAUGUCCAAAAGAAAAUGCUGAGCGAUGCAUAAAUUUGUUAGUGGGACUUUGCAAGUAGCUUCACAUUAUGUACUGUUGUUAAAAAAAAUCGGCCCACUUUGAAUCUACCGUAUAAAUAUAUAAAUUUAAUAGCGUUUAUUGAAUCACAAAAUAUUUUAAAACCAAAGGAGUUGUACCUUAGUAAGUUUUCAAGAUAAAUUAAGUUAUCACCUGAAUUACAUUAUUGUUAUAAGUUGAAUGAUGUUUCUGUGAAAGAGAUCAAUCUCCGACGUUUAAUUAAAUUUUUACUAAUGUUUUUAGCUUUACAGAAGGGUAAAUAUGAAAGCAAAAAUUAGUUUGCUAAUUUUCAGUAAUUUUGAUUUAUAAAUAAUUAUUCAAAUGCAUCUCAAAAAUUAAUUUAUAAAUUAAUGACAUAAUUUGGAAUACCUUAUUUUUGCUUUUUCAAAAAAUAUAAAUUGCGUUAUCCGUACGCAAAAUAGUAAAUAAUAUUGUAUUCUGAAGACAUUUUUUGAAAGAAAAUGUAUUGAAGUAAAUUAUAAAAUAUAACAAAAAUAAUAUUUCGUGUAUUCCCAUUAUUAAGGAUCACAAAUCUGUGAGUGUUUUUUUUUCUCCACUAAAUCAUGGUUCAAACAAUUCAUAAAAUAAUGAAAAAAAUCGGAAUUCGAUAAACAACGGGAAUUGUUACACCUGUUCCAUGAAUGUAUUAUUAUGUUACUGAAUCUAUUAUGGUAUUAGGGUUUAAAUUAGGCUCUUUACUAAAGUUUAAGAAAAGUAUUAGCGAAUACAAAGAGUCGUUCUAAGAUAAUAUCCGAAAGAAAUCUAUACUAUCAUUCAACGUGGAUCGCUUUUUUUUAACAGAGAAAAAAUGAAGAGACAAGAGAGAACGAGACUAUUAGGACUAAGAAGUGUUUCAAAAUAUGAUAUAAAAAGUGUUGGAUAAGAUUUAUCUAGGUAGUUUUUGUGUUGAAACAGAUGGCGAAUAUUCAUACAUCCUUUGUAGCAUUUGGUCUUAUUGUUUUAUCUUCAAAUUCUGUUUUUUUUUACUUAUUUAAUAUUUUUUUCAUAAAUGAAUUAAAAUCAUCGAUAAGCGUUUUUUUUUUUAUCACUGAUCCAAUUAUCAGAAAUUCUACCCUUCCUUAAAGGGCAUAUGAAAAAGGAACUGAAAUAACAAAAUUUAAAUCACCAUUGUAAAAGUUAUUUCCAGCUUUACAAAGUUCAUGUUUCUAGAAUAAUCAUACUGAUGAAAAUUUAAACUUUACUUGUAUAUUUUAAAGGUGAAAAAAAUUUAGGCUCGUGCAUUAGUAGUGUUUUCAAAUAAAAAUGUAUUAUUGUCUGUAGUUAAGCACCAGUUAUUUUUUCAUACCUUUUUUAUUAUUUUAAUAUGAUUUUUUUUCAUAAAAUUGUGUAUUGGCAUCUGUAUCUUCUUAUGAGUUCAAUGUGUAUUUUAUAUUUUAUGUCAUUUUUCUUAAGAAUAAAAUAAAUUACAUACUA